rnacentral:ncRNA from 1 species
UACAUUUGCGCCCUGAUUGAAAAUCAAUCACAUACAUCAUAAUCAUUUAAUAUAAUAUGGAAUG